rnacentral:tRNA from 1 species
ACCUGGCUGGUUCAGUCGGUAGAGCACAUGACUCUUGAUCUUGGGGUUAUGAUUUUAAGCCCCAUGUUGGGUG